CGAGUGAACUGAACAAGUGUGAAAGAGCAUGUAUGUGUGUGUAUGUGUGUAUGUAGACCAGGCAAGCUGCUCUGCACGCUACAAUGCAACGUGCAGGAAAGAGUUAUCAGGGCAGAAUCCCAACAGUGCUGAGGUUUGAGCAUCUGAUUUGAAUGCACCCCAAGAAAUAUGAAUAUCAUGGUGAGUUUAUGCUCAGCAGCACCCACUCAAAAAGCACAUCACCAUUGUCUGUAAUGUUGUUUCUUUUUCUCCCUGAAACUGUAUUUCCAUUCUUAAUCCCCACAGAUUUUUAUCCUGAUGAAAGAGCCUUAGUUUCCAAAGCCUUACUAGUUGUCAUGUAAUUCUCUGCUACAAAACUCUGCACAUAAACUGAAUUUGUUUUUAACUCCUACACUAUAAGGUUCUAAAGGUUAACAUUUUCCUUCUGUAUUGAGGUAGUAUUAGAAAGCGAUCAACAUUCGAUAGAUGGGUUUUAAACACAGAAACCUCUUGGGUGAAGUGUGUCUCUUCACAGGGUGAAUCAGGGAGGAUCUUCAGGGACCUGGUCGAUAGUUUUCGGUGACGUAGAGAUUCCUGCCUUGGGGGCGAGGGAAGACUCUGGGGGUGGAAGGGGUGCCUCUUGAAGUAAGGUUGGAGAACCGCAGUGGAGAACAGGGUAAAAAAACAGAAUGGGCAUGAUGUUUACUCAGUUAGACCAAUUUUGGGAAGAAAACAUACAGACACCGAGGAUUUUGAAAUGGCUUUUCUUGCGCACGCACCUCCUGGAAAGUCUUGUUGUUUAUGUACUGGUUGGAUUUAAGGAGCUAAGUAACCUAACAGCUCUCUUCUUUCAAUGAUUCAGACUGUUUUUGCACAAUGCUAAAGCACGCUAAAGGGCAGUCAGCCAACGCGAAUUAUAAAUACUUUAGAGAUCCAGCACGUGGGCUGUCUUGCCGGGGGCAUCAGUAGAGCAGAAGGGGUCAGUGUAGUACUUGAAGCAUGUACUGGAUUGUAACUAGUUCUGGAGCCAGACACAAUGUUUAUUCGCUUGUCCAUCAUCCAGCUGUGCGACCGGGUCAAAUUAUUACCAGUUCUGGUCCAUAGCCUUCUCACCUGGAAAGUGGAACUAAAAAUAGAUUUCUUGUCGGGUUGCGAGACUUAAAUGAGGUCAUGCAUGCAAAGCACUCAGUGCAUGCCCCAUAUAUGCUAAGUGCUGGGUGAAUAUUAAUCAUCGUCACCGUUAGAUAUUACAGUGUUUGGCUCCAGGAAAGAGCUCUGUGAGGCCCAUGGGGUCAUCAUUUCAGCCUGGUUUCUUCCAUCUCGUGACUCUUGCGUGCUCAAGGCGCUGUACCGCCCGCCCUGGUUUUACGGUCGACUGUAGACCUUUGCGAUUCCAAUUGACCUUGAGGCUCUGGAGCUCCUGGCAGGAGUCUGCCCACACCGGCCGGGCGCCCUCAUUUUCCGCUCAGCCUCUCAAGGACACACAUAAACACUCUAAGAGCGCCUACCGCGGGGUGGUCCUCCGAAUGCGUCUUGGGUUUUCUCAGAACGCUGUCUAGGAGCUGUGUCAGGCCGCUGGCCCACGUUCAGUCUCCUCUGGGGCGACUUACACAAAAGCCAUGUCAAGGCAGGGCUCCAAGGAGCAGCACAGGCACCUUAAUCCUUGUAUCGACAACUGUUCUGUUGGGUUACACAGUUUUCAUCUCAGAGGAAUUGUCUCUUGACAUUAAACUGUCCAAACAGUAUUUAUAUCUGCGACUGCCCCGCAAGAUCACUUAACCCCACACAGCCGUUUAAAAGUAGUUAAUGACAGAAGCGGCCUGACUAAACCCUGAUGAGUGAUGGGCCACGUUCGACCCAGGCUGUCAUGGUUUAUGGAGGAAGGCGGUUUGUCCAUCGCCGGCUUCAACCACAGCAGGUAAUUUGAAAUGAAAUGAGACAGUUUCUACAAGCAGAUUGAUUUGGGAAUCUUGCCUGCUCUUCCCUUUGACCCUUGACAAGUUGACACUACAAAGAUUGUGACUUUAAAAAAUGAUUGGGUGCAAAUACGUUUCGGUGGAUGAUUUACUGGGUGCCGAAGGUGAGGACGGUGCCUUUGGAGCAAUGCUGGGAGAGAAGGUCAUUGUCCACUCUAACAACUCAGGUUUCGUGCGUCUCAAUCUAAUUAAUUAUCCCACCAGGCCAAUCUGUUAAUGAUCCUUGAUCAAGGUGUCUAUAUGCUUGCUAAGAGGCCACAGACCCAACUGCCCGGUCAGAGACCAGGUAGCCAACAUCAAGGUGAAGAGACCCUGUCUCUUAUUUAUGUUAUAAAUACUCUUACUUAUGAUAAACUUAUUAAAAGGUACUGAUUCAGUUUGUCAUUUCGGUAGAAAACCCACAGCUUGCAUACGAGGAUAAGAAAUUGAGUUCUCUUUCAUGGGUUCCCUUUUUUCUUUUUUUGUAAAUGUGGCUAAUAAAAUACAUGGGGAGACACUGUGGUUUAAAGGAUGAUGAGAUUCAAUUUUUUGAUCUUCGAAGAGUUACCAGAGAUACCAGGGAAAAAAAACCCCUGCAGUAUCAAAAAUUUUUUCUAAUUCUUGGUAAUCACACUUAGAUUUUCCCUACCGGGUAUUAUAUACUACUUUAUGUGUAUGUAGAAUAUUAUGUGAUACUUUAAUAUGUAACAAUUAAGCAAAUGUUUUCCACAUUAUUUUGGUGCUACUCUUCGGCAGUUUUUUCUCUUAGAAGCGAAGUUUUGUCGUGAGUAAAUGUUAUCUUACACCAAAUUUAAAAAUUAGCUAUUUUCCAAAACAAGAAUCAGAAUGACAGUCAGGAAGAUGAUUUUUUAAAAGCAGUUGUCUCAGCUCAUGAUUAUGUAAUAUUUAUGCCUGGAUUUCUUAAAACGAACUUGGCAAUGGAGCUGUUGAUUCAUUAAUGUUGGGAUUUGCCUUGAAGUAGCCACGUUCCGGAACAUUUGCCAUUGAACCCGGCCUGUUAACUGAAGCUUUUGUGGUUCUCUCUAUUCUAACCACUUUGUUUGAAAUAUAAUUUUGAAGAUGCUAGUAAAAAAUAUAACAAAUUCCUUUUGGUCUCCGUUUAAAUUAUUUACUACCCUUUGGAGCCAUAUCUUCAUUGAACUAUGCUUAAAGUAUUUUGCAGGAAUGUUUCUUUAUGUUGUCCAUCGGGUUUAAUAGACGUGCCAUUUAAUAAGCUCUCUACCUGUAAGGAUAGACUAUUUGACCUCUGUGCCCUGCCACUGGUAGACAUAGUAUAAGAUUGCUUUGUGAAAUAAAGCUGUCGGUAACAUCAACAAAAUAAAAAAUGAUCGUAUUCCAAUACUCUCUGCUGAGUACCAUGACAGCACUGAAAUAUGGAAUAAAAUUGAAAGUAGAUUAGUUUUGGGUCUUAAGUCAUGUUUUGACAAGAAAUAAGAGAGGAGAACAUAUCUUUGAACUUUUAGUUUUAAAGUUUUUUAAUGAAAAUAUUUAUCAUUUUGUAAGGUUCCUUCUUUCUUUAUCACACCGCGGCUGUAUAACCUGAAAACAAUCCGUUCUCUUAUUGUGAGGGAUAUAAAUACUGUUCUGUCUUUACAUUAAAUACCAGAAAGGGAGCUCGCACGGGGAGAGAUGGUCUGACACUUGUAAGUGAAGGAGUGUCACGCUAAUAAAAAGGCUUAUUGAAGAGGUUGGAAAAUCAGUCAUUAAUAAGCUACAUAUUUUUAGGGUAUGUAAUGCAUGUAAAUCCUGUAGACAAGCGGGCCGGGUUCGCUGUAUUUUUUGUUUGCCUUCGGGAAUGGUUUGAAUCUGAAGAGGAAGAAUAAAUAUGUCUGGGUGGGGAGAAAGCCGGGCGGGUGAUUGCUUUUGACCUGGAGGAAUCUGAAACUCGGGGCACCUGCAGAUUGUGAAAUGGUUCCUUUCACCCCCGUGGUUAUAUAUUAAUUGAGGCGAAAUCGCUGCUGGUCCGAGGCACGGACGGUCAGCAGGGGUGUGGGCUGAGGACACUGACCCCCCCCUCCAGGGGUCUGCAAACAGCUGGUGUCACCAUAGGGGCGCCGCUGGAGCCCUUAAACCCGCGGCGCCCGCUCGCCCUUCCUUCCACGCGCCGGCGGUUACUGGGAGGGGGCAGCGUAAGCCGCGCCCCCGCCUCCUCGGGAUGAACCAGGAUGUGAGUCUGCACACGUGUGCCUUCUCUUCUGCUCAGAGGCCCUCCUUCAGGGCAAGGCUUGUGUCUGCGAGCCAUCUAAGUAGGGCUUCUUUGCAAAAAAAUCCAAGUUGGCUUUUACCCCUAAUGGAUGUGAAGUACCCACACAUGGCAGCAUCGGGCUAAUAACGCUAGCCAGACCCUCCUGGGACUCUGCUGUUAGUUAUGAAAAAAGCAAUCCUGUUCUCCUAAUCUUCAGUAUAUUCUAUAGUCAGGGGUUUUGAAAGUAAGUUUAAAAAGUAAAAGAUUAUUUUGGCUAGCACUUCCCUGGUGGUAUAGCGGAUAGGAAUCUGCCUGCCAAAGUAUGGGACACGGUUUGAUCCCUGGUUUGGGAGGAUCCCACAUGUCGCGGGGCAGCUAAAGCUAUGCACACAGCGACUGAUCCCGCGCUCUAGAGUCCGGCAAGGAGAGAAGCUGCUGCUUGGGAACCCUGCGCCCUGCAAUGAGAGAGUAGCCCCCCUCGCUGCAACUAGAGAAAGCCUAGGCAGCGGUGCAGACCCAGUGCCACCGCAGACACAUAAACUACUUAAAAAAGUAUUUUAAAAAGAUGAUAUUGGCUAACAGUUCAGAAAAAAGUUUUCAAGUGGGCUCUGACACUCUCUUCUGAUGUAUUUUGAGGCUGUUCAGUUCAGUUCAGUUCAGUCGCUCAGUCGUGUCCGACUCUUUGCGAUUGAGGCUGUUACAAAGAAAAAAAUAUUUUAAAAUUUGAGAUGAGUAUGAGACACAGCGCGGCUGGGUUGAGGUGGGUGCCAAGCCUUGCGGACCCCUUUAAUUCAUUCCGAGACAUGGCAUUAACCUUGGCUUUGCUAAAUAAUACCUUUAAACAGGACGGUGAAUCACUGUGGUCAUUACGCUGGUGUCGUUUGUCAUCACACUGAGUCCUGAGUGCUGAAGGUUUUGAGUAAUAACUGUAUAGUCACUGAUGACGGAGACCAAGUUUACAUGUGUGUUUUAUUCAUGAUUUUCUGUCAAAUGUCGAAAUCCGAGAGGAGCCCUGAGCAUCCCGGGAAGGGUCGGCGAGUGCACUCAGAUUCUCGGAGGGCCCAGGUCACAGCUGGUCACACCAUGUCCUUGGAGGGUGGAGGUCACCAAGAAGAGAACGAGGCCGGGAUACCCAAACCCAGAGGGGAGGUCGGCUUCAGCCUUCUAGAAGACAGGAGAGAAGGAAAGCGCGGGAUAAAAUACUACAAGCUGCUGGAGUGACAUGCUACCUGAGAGCUGUGGGAGUAACAAACAAAGAUAAAACUCAAACUCAGUGAGAACAAAAAGCAGACUGAGAGGGCUUCUUGUCCUCCAGGCAGACAGAGCCAUCAGGCUGUGUGUCGAGCGAUGUUAAAGAGGAGCCUGGUGAGCCAAAGUCCAUGGGGUUGCAGAGUGGGGCACGACUGAGCUACUGCGCAUGCGCACACGCGUUCAGCGCAGCACAGAGGCAGCGGAGGAGGCUGGGCUGCAACAGCGCUCACACGGCCGGAUGACAUCGCUGUGAACCAAGCCAGGAUCAGACCACAGGCUCCAGACUGUCACCUGCCCAGAAGUCAGCUCCGGGAGGAUUUGCCAGAUCAACACCGGGGUGUCAAAGCAUCAUGCUUCUGUUGGAAAUGUCACCUUUCCCACUGAUCAACUUUGAAAUCCAAACAUUCUCAGCUGCAGGGAAAGGUUGAUGGAGGUUAUUUAUGUAUUUUAAAAAAUUCUUUCAAUACACAGCCCAGUUUGAACUAAAAAUCAGAAUUAUCCUUCUGAAUCUUGCAUUCUAAUGACCUCCCGGAUCGCCCACUUGCUUCCACGCUACAGAUUUCUUUGGUCAUCGCACAAAACCUGAGGCUGCGCUGCUGGAUGUGUGGUGUACUCAGGCGUGGGUGCAUGGGAGGCCUUCAGGGUCAGGAUUUUUGUGUGCACGCGUUUUUUCCCAGGAAGAAGGUCCAGGGCUUUCAUAACUUCCUCUCCAGGGGGGUCUCUGAGCUCCCUUCCCCUCGUGUAAAAGCACAAAUAGCUCGGGGAGACAGCAUGCGACGCGGUUCUGCAUGGAGGUGUCGUUUCUGGUAAGGCCGAGAGGUGGCAGGGUAAACACCCGCCUGCAGCGGCCCCAUUUUCCCGACCGGAGAGAAGCCCCGUGAAAGGAGAUCCUGUCUGUAACCUCGCUUCCGCUUGCACAGACUGUGGAUACAGGGCCCAUCAAACCGCCCUGAAACAUCCCUGGAGGAGGAGAGCAAGGCUGAAGGGGCAGCCUGGGGUUUUAAAGGUCACAAACAUCCAAAGACAACAUUUGGUAAAUGUUUCUUGGGGCAUUGAGCACCACGCCAGAAAUGCAGAGCUCAAUCAUUGGCAGAAUCAAAAGCACUUAUAAAACCAAUGAUAAUUUCCCAAGCUAUGAUUAACACUUGGUUUUUACCACAAAGUAUCAUUGUUCAAAGACGCUAUAAACUGCCUGAAGAAAUGACUUCUGAACAGAAAAAGACCAGUUUCUUUGCAUCAGCACAGAAAGAUCUCUUUCAGUUCUUCCACUUCGUGGGGGUUAAAAAUAACAGAAAAAGGGGAAGUUGCCUCAUGUAGGUAGAUUCAGAGGAUUUUUAUUUUGAUAGUUAAGUAUCACUUUCAUUUUCUGUGAAAGUAUGAGAAGCAGGGAUCUUUGCUUGCAAAUUCUUAACCAGAUGCCCACUGGAUAACAUUUUCUACUUUAAACAUACCUAGCCAAUUCAAAUAUAAGUAUUUAAAGAAGCAGAUGCUGGGUUUCAUAUAGCUGAGCACAGUGAACUUUCUCAAGGCAAACUCAGUUGUUUAAUGGUAUAUGUGCUGUGAUAACCUAUAGUUCUUAGUGAUGAAAUUAAGCUUGUUUAUAUCUUUAAAAGCAAUCAUUUGGUGGGCUGAGAUGAAAUCUAUUUUUGCCUAUCAUUUCCAUUCCUUUAAGAAGUUUCCAUAAGAUUCAUAAUUAUUAGGGGACAGAAAGCAAAUAUGCACGGUUUCCAGCUAUUCUGGGAGAGGAUGAUAAAUAGGAAGGGCUUGAGGGCAUUUGACAAAUACCAUCAGACGUAAUGCAAAUUUUGUGGGUGGAAUAGAUUCUGAGAAGUAUCUGCCUGCCUGUUUUGGUUCAUUUUUCACAGUCCAGUUUAAACUGUGAGACUCCUUUGAAAUAGAAAAUAAUCUCCUGGGGGUAAAACAGGAACAAAGUGUUUACAGCGUAAGUCCAGGUUCUCUCGGAUAAUAAAUAACUUUAGAUCAGUUAUUAACCAAUUGAUUAAUCAGCUGAUCAGUUAAUUAACCAAUUGAUUAGUAUUUAUGGAGCAUCUGUUUUUUUCCACUAAGUGUUGAGAGGAACAUGAGACAAAUUCAAUACAUAAUUUCUUCGUUAUAUUCACGUUAUCUGUUGUGCCUUAAUGUGUGUGUGGGGAGGCGUGCAGAGAAAGGGUCCUAGUGGGAGCAUUGGAUGGGAAGGGUUAUCUGAACAUGAUUUGUUAAGUGUUUAAGUCCCUCUGCCGUCCACCUGAAACUAUAACAACAGUGUGAAUCAGCUAUACUCCAAGACAAAAUACAAAGUUUGAUUAAAAAAAUGCUUCUCUCUCACUUUCUAAAGAAUCUCUGAUGGAGAAAUUUCAAUACAACUCCUUUCAUGUGGCUGCUCCUUGCUUCCUAUUAGGUCAGGUGCUUGAAACACCUGGAGUUCCUUUUAUAAAACGUUUUAUUGAAUCCAAGUCGGUCCAGAUGGGCCACAGUUUGAGCAGCCAUUAGGCUGCUAGUUUGACUUUCUUGAUCUCAAGGAUGAUAGCUGUGUGCUUUUUUGCCCUCUGCUGUAAGGGAAAGAAGAUGUUGAAAAGACUUGUCAACCAUGCAGGCCUCUGGGAGCACAGAGCCGGUUGGCGGGCAGGAUGGUCUUCUGGGGACCAAGGUGGGGUUCAUGCAGUAGAGCAGGUUUGGACUGGGGGCCCUCUCCUAAGCAGAGAAGCAGCCUGUGUCCAGGGCAGGACUGGGGGCCCUCUCCUGAGCAGAGCAGCAGCCUGUGUCUAGAGCAGGGGUUUCCAAAACCCCAGCCAUGCUGGGGGCUGCCUCAGCAAAGAUGGUGUCUGCCUUACUUGGGGUUGUAGCUCCCAUGGGCAAAAAGAGAUUAUUUCUGGAAACUUCUUAUUCUGUGUAGUUUCAGAGUUUUGACACAGUGUCUGUUUAUAUACACUUAUGGAAUUCACAUCCUUGGGCCGUAACCAGCAAGUUUUUAUCCAGUAAUACCUCAAGGGAUGUUCCACUACUCUCAGGAGCGGGCCGUUAAGUCUGUUUUAUGCUGCCAGUCAGCACCAGAGAUACAUAGGACUCUACAGCCCAGCUCAGCUUCGACUUCCGGUGGGAGACUCCUUACAAAGUGGCGCUCCUGUCCCCCAAAUGUUGACUCUAACCUGAUUCACAAUCACACAGAACGCCAUGCUUUAGCUCUUGCCAUGGACCCCAUCUCAUUCUAUCCUCACAGCCUAGGGAAAUAGGAUUCUUCAUUCCAUUUCUCCAUGCUAGGAAACCGAGGCACAGAGUGGAGUUCCCAGUGCAUGAGCACAGUCAGGAGGGGGCACAGUGCCCAGACCUGAGCCCAGGGCUCUAUGAGGGCCUCUUCCCUUCAUAGCCUCUUCCCUACUCAUUCCUCUGACUCUGAGUGGUACAGAGGUUGACUGUAAAGAAAGCUAAGUUGGUUUUGAUUCUUUACAAGCUUCCUGCUAAGAAGUUUCUGAGGCUGUGGUCUUCCAAAAAGAAAUGGGAGCUUGACUGAAGCCCCCACAUUUUCAAACAUCUUAUGUUCUAUUUCUGGGCAGCUCUGCUAACAGAUCAGCGCUGACUUAGGAGGCAUCUGACUCAACUGUGGAAGCAUCUUGCAGUGUCUUUACUAUUUUCCUCCCUAAGGGAAUUUUUUUUUCCCUCUCUCUUUCUUUCUUUGUAACUGGUCGGAAAAUCCUACUCAUGAAAGCAUGUUUGAUCACUCCAAGCUUCUGGACACAUACCAUGGGUGAUACUUGCUGUUCAGGUUGAAGGUUCUCAGCCAUCCCAGCAGGGUGAACACAUAAUGUCAGGCUGGGAACUAAGACCCCCAUCUUGCUCAUGGGAGGAGCCACAGGCAGGCCAGGCUUUGCUCCCACAUGCUCCUGGAUGUCCUGGGGACUGUGUGCUUGGGAAUUUCUGUGGUAGAGCACCAGCCCUGCCUUGAGAAGAGAGGCAGUCCUCCUAUUCCUGCCCCAGCAAAGAAGGACUUGCCACAGAGUUAGCAGAGUAUGAAGUAUGACUUGAAUAGACACGAAAAUAUAUGGACAGUUAAAAUGUUGAUAUAGCCAAACUCUCCCUUGAAGUUCUUUAUCUUUUUGCAGCAGCUCUGUGAAUUGCAAGGUCCCCAAUCUGCCUUCUAACUGUAUUCUGCCCUCAUUUAUCCUUUUGGGCUAACUGAUCAGCCCCUUAUUUCUUCUCUCUAAAAAUCAUCACUGGGACUUCGUGGCGAUCCAGUGCUUACAAUUCUGUGCUCUGACUGCCAAGGAUCUGAGUUCAAUCCCUGAUUGGGGAACUAAAAUCCCACAAACCAAGUGACUCAGCCAAAAUAAAUAUAUAUAUCAUUAUGAAGGGGAACUUCAGAUGUCCACUCU